rnacentral:rRNA from 1 species
ACUCCGUACGGGGAGGCAGCAGUAGGGAAUCUUCCACAAUGGGCGCAAGCCUGAUGGAGCAACACCGCGUGAGUGAAGAAGGGUUUCGGCUCGUAAAGCUCUGUUGUUAAAGAAGAACACGUAUGAGAGUAACUGUUCAUACGUUGACGGUAUUUAACCAGAAAGUCACGGCUAACUACGUGCCAGCAGCCGCGGUAAUACGUAGGUGGCAAGCGUUAUCCGGGAUUUAUUGGGCGUAAAGAGAGUGCAGGCGGUUUUCUAAGUCUGAUGUGAAAGCCUUCGGCUUAACCGGAGAAGUGCAUCGGAAACUGGAUAACUUGAGUGCAGAAGAGGGUAGUGGAACUCCAUGUGUAGCGGUGGAAUGCGUAGAUAUAUGGAAGAAC